rnacentral:ribozyme from 1 species
AUUGCAAAUAUUAAUAAUGUGCUAUACACAGUGAGAGUGGCCAAUUUGAGUAAAACAAAGGGAGAAACACCUGUUGUCCGCUUCUCCCUU